rnacentral:rRNA from 1 species
UACGGUGGGUGCAAGCGUUAAUCGGAAUUACUGGGCGUAAAGUGUGCGCAGGCGGCCGCGCAAGUCGAGUGUGAAAGCCCCGAGCUUAACUUGGGAACUGCGCUCGAAACUAUGUGGCUGGAGUGUGGCAGAGGGAGGUGGAAUUCCACGUGUAGCGGUGAAAUGCGUAGAGAUGUGGAGGAACACCGAUGGCGAAGGCAGCCUCCUGGGCCAACACUGACGCUCAUGCACGAAAGCGUGGGGAGCAAACAGG